GCCGGGCCGGGCGCGCCCCCGAACCCCCCCGGGACCGCGGGGACAGAGCGGGGGCGGCCGCGGGGGGCUUCGGUGGCCGGCCCCAGAUACCCCCGAAUCGCUGCUUGGCUUUGGUUUUUUCCUCCUUUUUAAACUUUCUUUUGGUGUGUUUUUGGAGGGGGACCCGGCGCGUCCCUCCGCCCACCCCGCGCUGCGACAUCCGCGCCUCGCCGUUUAUUUCUCUUUAUGUCGCUGCUCCCCAGCCCGGUGGCCCCGGCGCGUCUUCCCCUGCGCGGCCGGACAGGGCUGCGCUGCCGCGGGAUGCGGGACCCUCAUCCCGGUGCCGCAUCCCGGUUCCUCAUCCCGGUUCCUUAUCCCGGUACCGCACCCGGGUCCCGCACCCCGGCCUGGAGCUGUGCCGGGGGAAGGAGCGGCCUCCUCCUCCCUCCCCCUCUUCACAAAAAGUUUUGUGAGUUGAUCAAGUGUUGUCCUCGAAACGGAGCACCGGGAGCUUCCCGGGGGUAUCCGUGGGUAAUGCAGACACUUCUCGCUACAGAAAUCUUUAGCGAUGUGUAGGAAUCACACGUUUUGAUCCGCAAACGGCUUUCCCGUGCGGGUCAGAACGAGAUCAGGGCUGUCGCUCCCAUCCUGAUCCAGGUGGGCAAGAAAGCAGAUCCCGGUUUUUGAGGCUCCAGGAUUUGGGGAUUUGGUGGGAGCUGCUGAGCGCAAAGGCAGCUCCCGAAGAGCUGCUCCCCUUCCCACCUCCCUCCCUUCACCCCGCGCCCCUCGGCGCAUUUCGGGGCAGAAACCUUGGAGCGCUGCUCCCUUCCCAAACCCCGGAGCCGAGAAUUUUGCCUUUCAACUCGAGCGUUAAAGUUGGGGCUUCCUCGAAGCUGCCUUAAUUUGCUGCUUUAAUUCGCAGCCUUUGUGCGGCCGGACAAUCCUCGGGACAGCGGCCGCCUCCGUGCCCUGUCGCGGUGGGGCUCCCCUGUCGCGAUUGUCGUCGUUCCCGUAGCGAGGGAGGGUUAAAGGUAUUGGAAAGGGCACGUGAAAAAAAAAAUACAUUAAAAAAAAAAAAAAAAAAAAAAAGGACGAGGACGAGGCAGCGGGGAAGGAGCUGUGAAUAAACGCACUCGAAACCCUCUCCCUGGGAGCCCCUGGUUGUUUUUAUCUUUCCUUGAGGUUCUGGUGAUGAUUUUGGUUUUUUGUUUUUUUUUUUUUUCCUGCUUGCAAACUUUUGGGAAGUAGUUGUGCUUUGGGUGAGUUUUAAGGUAAGUGGCUGUGCUCUAUUGCAGAGCCUUUGUCUGCAGGAACUCUGUGAGCAGAGCGGGGCUUUGCUCCAGGAGAAUUGGGGGGUUUUUAUUCCUGAAACGCCGAGGACGCUUCUCCCAGAGUUGUGUUUCUUCCCUCCGCUGAAUAUUCAAUAUUCCAGGAGAGGGACACUGAAUUUUGCGUGGUUACUUGCGGUGGACAAGAACAUCAAAGCAAACGCGGGCAGGGGAUGGUUCUGAUCUCAGCUGGGGCCUGAAUCUGCACGAAUGUACCUGGAGAGGAGCAAAACGCCGUGACAGCAGCCUGUGCCCCGGCUCUGCUGCUGACUGGCAGGGACAAACACCGGGACAAUUUGGAGGGUAAUGGAUUGGCCGAAAAGGGUCAUAAUUAGGACAUUUUUCAUCCUGCAAGUCCAUCUGCUGCAAGGGGCUCUGCCUUCCCAGAGAGGCUGCUCGGAGCGCGGCGAGGGGCUUGACAAGUUUGAACAAUAAACAAGAGCGAAAGGGGGAAGGA